CACACCGCCCGUCACACCAUGGGAGUUGAUUGCUCCAGAAGUGGCCGAUCUAACCCGCAAGGGAAGUAGGUCCCAAGGAGCGGUCGAUGACUGGGGUG
rnacentral:rRNA from 1 species